GCAGAUUAGUCAUUUGAGUACAGAGAGGGAGUCAUUUACAAAGCAAAUAUAUUGACGUUCCAAAUCAACAAGUUGAUUACAGAAGAAUAUAAUGGACAAAAACUGAAAACAAAAGAUUAUUUUGGAGUUUGUAUUCCCUUAACAGUGGAACACAACUGAUUUACAUAACAAUAUUAAACAGUUGAGUCACAUUCUAUAGCUACCCUCACAAAUUGCCUCAAAAAAAGUUGAAGAAAUAAAAUACAUCAUCACUCCUGGAAGUUGACAUGUCGCGCUUUUUUCGCCUCUUCAUUGUUUAGACGACUUUUGAGCUUGGUGAAGGUUCUUAGAAAGUUCCAGUGUUGAUGGCAUCAGCGUUAGCAUCUCCGAGAGCUGCCUCUUUAAGAUAGGUUUCAGCCAACUGGACUCUCUUGACAUUCUCUUGCUCUUGAACAAGCAU
rnacentral:misc_RNA from 1 species